rnacentral:rRNA from 1 species
AGUGAACGCUGGCGGUAGGCCUAACACAUGCAAGUCGAACGGCAGCACAGUAAGAGCUUGCUCUUACGGGUGGCGAGUGGCGGACGGGUGAGGAAUACAUCGGAAUCUACUUUUUCGUGGGGGAUAACGUAGGGAAACUUACGCUAAUACCGCAUACGACCUACGGGUGAAAGCAGGGGAUCUUCGGACCUUGCGCGAUUGAAUGAGCCGAUGUCGGAUUAGCUAGUUGGCGGGGUAAAGGCCCACCAAGGCGACGAUCCGUAGCUGGUCUGAGAGGAUGAUCGGCCACACUGGAACUGAGACACGGUCCAGACUCCUACGGGAGGCAGCAGUGGGGAAUAUUGGACAAUGGGCGCAAGCCUGAUCCAGCCAUACCGCGUGGGUGAAGAAGGCCUUCGGGUUGUAAAGCCCUUUUGUUGGGAAAGAAAAGCAGCAGGUUAAAACCCCGCUGUUCUGACGGUACCCAAAGAAUAAGCACCGGCUAACUUCGUG